AAGCUUUAUGGUGUUGAAAUGCUCUGAUCUGCAGAAAUACAAGAUGACCACUCACUAGCAAAUCUGAGUUCUGUUUCUGGAGAGAAAUGUUAUGAAUUAAACAUUUCUGUGUAUCCCUUAUGUUUUAGGUUGAAUCUGCUAUCUGCCAAAAGUGCUGGACAGCAUGUCUCUGAACUGGGAUAUGUGUUUUAGAGACCUGUUUGAAAACAGAUAGGAGACAUAGCCUGUGCUGACCUGGAUUAAAAGCACUUGAGAAUGAGUCCUGACUGAGUCACCUGGAGGUGACUGGUUGCUCUUGAAGCUGAAUCACAAAGUCCUCAGUUCUUUGGGAGGUCCUAAAAACAGAAGCUGCUCACACCUCCAUGAGGGAGCUCAGCAAGAAGUUUACAAGGGACAAAGAAGACAUCUGCUGCACCUCCAGGUCAGCAGACCUUAGUAACGCAUAGAAGGGUUCCAGAUGCUCCACAGGCAGGGAGAUGUUCACUGGAGGAAUGAGAGGAAAUAUUGAGGACUCUCAUGGUUCACUGCAGUCACAUUUAUCUCUUGUUGGUCUUAAGCCUCAGGUGUUCCCAUAUAUAGGCUGAGAGGUAUUCCCCUUCAUUUAAAUCCAUUGCUACUAGCAAAAUAGGGCAAGUUUCCUGAAAAGGAUUUGAAUAAUCAAGUACUUCAAAAACAUCACAGGAAGGGAAGCAAUUUGCCUUGCUGCCGAACAAGUCAUUCCACCCCACAGGAGCUCCUCAUGUUGUGGCUAUCUGCACUUUCAAUCUAACAAAAAAGCCAUGGUAUAAAGCUAUCAAGCCAAGUGUCAGAAUUCUUUCCUUGAAGUAAAUGUAAAACAAAAUAAAUAAAU